rnacentral:rRNA from 1 species
ACGAGUGGCGGACGGGUGAGUAACACGUGGGUAACCUGCCCUUAAGUGGGGGAUAACAUUUGGAAACAGAUGCUAAUACCGCAUAGAUCCAAGAACCGCAUGGUUCUUGGCUGAAAGAUGGCGUAAGCUAUCGCUUUUGGAUGGACCCGCGGCGUAUUAGCUAGUUGGUGAGGUAAUGGCUCACCAAGGCGAUGAUACGUAGCCGAACUGAGAGGUUGAUCGGCCACAUUGGGACUGAGACACGGCCCCAAACUCCUACGGGAGGCAGCAGUAGGGAAUCUUCCACCAUGGACGCCAAGUCUGAUGGAGCAACGCCGCGGUGAGUUGAGAAGGCUUUCGGGUCGUAAAACUCUGUUGUUGGAGAAGAAUGGUCGGCAGAGUAACUGUUGUCGGCGUGACGGUAUCCAACCAGAAAGGCCACGGCUAACUACGUGCCAGCAGCCGCGGUAAUACGUAGGUGGCAAGCGUUAUCCGGAUUUAUUGGGCGUAAAGCGAGCGCAGGCGGUUUUUUAAGUCUGAUGUGAAAGCCCUCGGCUUAACCGAGGAAGCGCAUCGGAAACUGGGAAACUUGAGUGCAGAAGAGGACAGUGGAACUCCAUGUGUAGCGGUGAAAUGCGUAGAUAUAUGGAAGAACACCAGUGGCGAAGGCGGCUGUCUGGUCUGUAACUGACGCUGAGGCUCGAAAGCAUGGGUAGCGAACAGGAUUAGAUACCCUGGUAGUCCAUGCCGUAAACGAUGAAUGCUAGGUGUUGGAGGGUUUCCGCCCUUCAGUGCCGCAGCUAACGCAUUAAGCAUUCCGCCUGGGGAGUACGACCGCAAGGUUGAAACUCAAAGGAAUUGACGGGGGCCCGCACAAGCGGUGGAGCAUGUGGUUUAAUUCGAAGCAACGCGAAGAACCUUACCAGGUCUUGACAUCUUUUGAUCACCUGAGAGAUCAGGUUUCCCCUUCGGGGGCAAAAUGACAGGUGGUGCAUGGUUGUCGUCAGCUCGUGUCGUGAGAUGUUGGGUUAAGUCCCGCAACGAGCGCAACCCUUAUGACUAGUUGCCAGCAUUUAGUUGGGCACUCUAGUAAGACUGCCGGUGACAAACCGGAGGAAGGUGGGGAUGACGUCAAAUCAUCAUGCCCCUUAUGACCUGGGCUACACACGUGCUACAAUGGAUGGUACAACGAGUUGCGAGACCGCGAGGUCAAGCUAAUCUCUUAAAGCCAUUCUCAGUUCGGACUGUAGGCUGCAACUCGCCUACACGAAGUCGGAAUCGCUAGUAAUCGCGGAUCAGCACGCCGCGGUGAAUACGUUCCCGGGCCUUGUACACACCGCCCGUCACACCAUGAGAGUUUGUAACACCCGAAGCCGGUGGCGUAACCCUUUUAGGGAGCGAGCCGUCUAAGGUGGGACAAAUGAUUAGGGUGAAGUCGUAACAAGUAGCCGU